rnacentral:rRNA from 1 species
AUUGAACGCUGGCGGCCGGCCUAAUACAUGCAAGUCGAACGAGUGGCGGCCGGGUGAGUAUUGGCUGGGAACCUGCCUGAUGGAGGCGGCAAACUACUGGAAAAUGUAGCAAAUUGUGCAUAUCACAGGAUGUGUCCUCAUGGGAUUAGCUAGUCGGUGGGCUAAAGGUUCACCUGGGCGACGAUCCCUACCUGGUCUGAGAGGAUGACCAGCCACACUGGAACUGAGCCACGGGCCAGACUCCUACGGGAGGCAGCAUUGGGGAAUAUUGCACAAUGGGCGCAAGCCUGAUGCAGCCAUGCCGCGUGUAUGAAGAAGGCCUUCGGGUUGUAAAGUACUUUCAGCGGGGAGGCGUUACCCGCAGAAGAAGCACCGGCUAACUCCGUGCCAGCAGCCGCGGUAAUUC